GCGCUAAUAGAUGAAAGCUGCCUAAGUCGGAUUAGCUAGUUGGUGGGGUAAAGGCCUACCAAGGCGACGAUCUGUAGCGGGUCUGAGAGGAUGAUCCGCCACACUGGGACUGAGACACGGCCCAGACUCCUACGGGAGGCAGCAGUGGGGAAUAUUGGACAAUGGGGGGAACCCUGAUCCAGCCAUGCCGCGUGUGUGAAGAAGGCCUUAUGGUUGUAAAGCACUUUAAGCGAGGAGGAGGCUACUGUAAUUAAUACCUAUGGAUAGUGACGACGUUACUUCGCAGAAUAAGCACCGGCUAACUCUGUGCCAGCAGCCGCGGUAAUACAGAGGGUGCGAGCGUUAAUCGGAUUUACUGGGCGUAAAGCGUGCGUAGGCGGCUUUUUAAGUCGGAUGUGAAAUCCCCGAGCUUAACUUGGGGAAUUGCAUUCGAUACUGGUGAGCUAGAGUAUGGGAGAGGAUGGUA
rnacentral:rRNA from 1 species